rnacentral:rRNA from 1 species
UACGUAGGGGGCUAGCGUUGUCCGGAUUUAUUGGGCGUAAAGAGCGUGUAGGCGGCCAUGUAGGUCCGGUGUGAAAACUCGAGGCUUAACCUCGAGAUGUCAUCGGAAACCAUUUGGCUAGAGUCCGGAAGAGGAGAGUGGAAUUCCUGGUGUAGCGGUGAAAUGCGCAGAUAUCAGGAAGAACACCAAUGGCGAGAGCAGCUCUCUGGGACGGUACUGACGCUGAGACGCGAAAGCGUGGGGAGCGAACAGG